rnacentral:rRNA from 1 species
GACGUAGGAGGCGAGCGUUGUCCGGAUUCAUUGGGCGUAAAGAGCACGCAGGCGGUUUGGCAAGUCGGAUGUGAAAACCAGGAAGCUCAACUUCUGGCCUGCAUCCGAUACUGCCCGACUAGAGGUAGGUAGGGGAGAUCGGAAUUCCUGGUGUAGCGGUGAAAUGCGCAGAUAUCAGGAGGAACACCGGUGGCGAAGGCGGAUCUCUGGGCCUUACCUGACGCUCAGGUGCGAAAGCUAGGGGAGCGAACAGG